GAAAUGCUGCUGAAAGGCUAUUGUGAAAAAUUAGCAAAAGGCUUAAAUGAAAUCAAUCUAAUGAAAAAUCAAGGCUAUUAUUAAUGUCAAGAAAAAUAAAAGUAUAAAAGGAAGUGUAGUUUUUGUAAAUUCUUAAAAUGCUCAGCUAUAAGUAUUAUUUACACAGUCAUAAUAAUAUAAGCAAUUAAUUAAAUCUAAACAAAACUUUUAAGGUAACUCUAUUGUGGGAAAUGGGGAGGGAAGCAGAGAAAAUGAAAGUUUCAUGGAGCUAAAUCUUUAGGCACCAUAUUAGAAAGUCAAUAGAUAACACCUAAAAUUGAAUAAUCAAAAUAUAGGAGUAUAUGCAUAUUAUUUAGAAAUAUGGACAUGUAUGAAGAAAUAUCUCUAAAGGAGUCGAAAUUGAUGCCUUGGGGGAAAGAAAUUGGAGAAGAGUUUGACAGAAAAUCACUGUAUUUUGUUACAUAUAUUUGACUUAUAAACCAUGCAUAUAUAUUAUUUUUAAAAAAUAAGUUUUAAAAGGAAAAAAAAGAAUAUAUUUAUUGAAGGGGCUUAGAAGAGGCCUCCCCAAGGUGUGCCACUUUGGCAUGUGGAAUGUUGAGCUAAAGGCAAUCGAGAGCCUGCGGGUUCAAGAGCAACUUUUACCUCAGCCUGGAAGAAUUUAAAUUGAGGGCCUUGCCCAUAAUAAGAGUUAUUACCAGAAAUAACUUUUUAUGACCUAUCUGUAUGGUAGGGCAAACAUCUAAUUACUGAACAUCUGCUCUUCUUAUCAUUCUGUGAAUUGCCCUCCUCCCCUCUGAAGCCCUAGGCCCCUAUCCCGUGGCUCAAGAUGGCGUCUAUAUCUCAUUUUACCUUUCUGUCUCUGAACCCCUUAUGUAUGUGAAGUCUCUGACUCUCUCAUAUAUGUGGAGUUCCCAUACAUAUGAAAUUAAAUUUGAUUUUCUCCUGAUAAUUUGUCUUGUGUCAGUUUAAUACUUAGAUCAGCCAGAACCUAGAAGGGUAGAGGAAAAUUUCUUCCUACCCCACAGUUGGUGUAGUUGGUAGGAUAAGCUUCCCUGGCUAGACUCUGCUCCCUCUGAGGCCACUGCAGAGAGAUCCUGGGACAUCUGACAAGCGCCAGCAGAAGGUAAGAGUUCUUGCCUUGUCAGUCUCCCAGAUCUCUGCCUGCCGCAGGGUCUGUUGGAAGCUAGAGUGGUAAGAGUCUUUUUUUUUUCUCUUUCUAAAUUUAGAUUAGCAGGAGAAGAUAUUUGUGAAAUUAAUUUCUUGGGCAAAAGCAACUCUGGUAAAGAUUUGGGACCAGUAUUCUGAUUUUCUGUUGAUCCCAUUUCUCCCAGAAAUGGUCAUUGUUUUGUCUCUGCCAGCCGGAGGAUGCAUAUGUAUCCAGUGGGCAGCCAAGUAGGCUGUGGAUCCAAACUUAGGGAAUCAAAAAAAGGUGGGGUGAUAAACUUUUGGCUUGAUUUCCUCCUUCUGGACCCUUUGAGCACCUGCAGCUGGACUUCAUUCAACUGCCACUCAGAUACAAUUGGAAACUGCUUACAUUGCCAAGGCUUUGAUUGGAAUGCCACAUUUGAGAGAGACAUACAUAGACUCAGAUAUAACCAGACAGCUUUAAGGAACUAAGAUUGACUUUAUGGAGCCAAUAAAGACCUUUGGAAAGAACAACCUGGUACCUUGCUUACAUGGUCCCUGACAGCCUAACCAGAAAUGCCUCUUAUUAAAUUCCUGGUUGCUGGCACUAUAGGCCUAACUUUGGGAGCCCACCUGUAUCACCACCUCCUGAAAAGAGAGAAAACUGUUUAAAUGAACUGACCUAUUCUCAGAACUAAGAGACUGGCUCAACGAGAUAGAGCAUUCUACCAGCUUAACUUCUGAAAUGUGAAACUUCUCAGGAAGUCUCAAAGGGAGCCUGAGGGAUUCAGAACAGACAGAACAAGAUCUGCCACUUUGGCAUAUGGAAUAUAUUUUGAGCUACAGGCAAUGAAGACCUUGUGGGCUCAAGAGAAAACUCUUACCUCAGCCUUAAAGAAUUUAAAUUGAGGGCCUUGCCCAUAAUAAAAAUUAUUACCAGAAAUAACUUUUUAUGACCUACAUGCAUGGUAGGGCAAACAUCUAAUUACUAAACAUCUGCUUUUCUUAUUGUCCUGUGAACUCACCUCCUCCCCUUUGAAGCCCCAGGGCUCUAUCCCAUUCCUCAACUCAGGAUGGUAUAUGUGCUUCAUUUGCCUUUCUAUCUCUGAAUCUCUCAUGUAUGUGGGGGUCUCUGACUCUCUCAUGUAUGUGGGGUUCCUGUACAUAAAAAAUUAAAUUUGAUUUUAUCCUGUUAAUCUGUUUCCUGUCAACAAAAUUCUUAGACCAGCCAGAAGAACCCAGAAGGCUAGAGAAAAAUUUCUUCCUCGCCCACAUUAGUUAAAAAUGUUUCCAUAUUCACACUCAUUGAACAAAUGUGUGUGAAGAAUUUUCUGGGUGCCCAGCUCAAUGCUCUGAACUUGGGAUAAAACUGGAAUAAGAUAGGUUUCUAACCUCAAGGAGCUCACAAAGUUGGAAGACGACAGAAGGGUGGUGAGAGAAACAUGAAACAAAUAAUGUCUUAUAACAUUGCUGUAAGUGCUAGAUGAGAGUAUAAAUUGUAGUUUGGGGAAUUAAAUUGUCUUAAAAGAAAUAUAAGAGAAAAAGUUUCUUGAAAAUAAAUGUUUUUACAGUUUAAAAGAGGUUACUGUAUCAGCUCAUUAAUAAUAAUAGUAGUAAUAGCUGCUACUUUUUCUUUUUAUUGUCUCAUAUGUAUAAGACACUCUUUUACCUAUGUCCUUUGAUUUAAUCCCAGCUCUGAUGAGACAAAUCUUAACAGCCUCAUUUUACAGAUGGACUGAAUCAUAGUGGCUUUAAGAAUAGAAAAGCUUCACAUCUGUGCCGAUGGCUGACACAUGAUUCAGCCUCAAAGGGAUGAAGUGAACUACAUUAUCUUCUUGACUUACUUCAAGUAUUGUUAUUUUACAGUGUAUUUCCCUCUGUAGGUUGUAGUUACAAAAGUUGAAAAGUCACUGCCUUUAGGUUACCAGAACCUCGUAAUACUAUCGAAAUGGAGCUAUGUGCUAGAACAUGGAGAUGUCUUUGUCAUGCAAAACAUUCCGUUAAAAAUUUGAUAUUAACUAUUUAUCUAUACAGAUAUAUAUAUAGUUACCAAAGAAAGCAUUUCUUCUUUCUCUUUAAGUAAACUUCUUAAAAUUUCCAUAUGAAUGAAUUCAAAGCACAAUCAAAAUAUGCACAAUCAAAAAGAGAAGUGUUCUCUUCUUUUGUAAUUCCCAAAAUGCUAAUAUUGUUAACUGUACUCAAUAUAUUUUGAAUAAUGUAAUGUAAACUCUAGCUACUUAACUCCAUUUUCCUGCCAAUUUAGUCAUUGUGCACCUGCCAUAUUUGUCUCUCUUCAUAACCUAAAAUAAAGGAUGAAGGCUGAAUAAUAAAACAAAAUGCUUAACUCUAUUUUGUAUUCAUUCUGCCAUCCUUUUAUUGAAACACUUUGAAUAGUAUCUACAUAUGACUUCAAUAACUAUCAUAAUACUGUAUUCUCAAUUGAAAUGAAAUGAUAGAGACCAUAAAUAUUUGAUGUCCUUUCUCCCUAUUACUCUCUAUGUAUGCUUUCCAUCUUGAUGUCAGGGGACCAUUCUGAAGAGAGUAGGAUGAGAUUUCAUAUUUGCUAAGAGAUUUCUUUUGCAUAAUGCUUUAGAAAUGCUCAGGAAGUCAAGAGUUCAGCUGUUGAAAGUCUAUAAACCAUUGCAUAAAUUAUAGCAGCUUUUAAAAUCCUCACCAUAAAAGUCUCAUAAAAGGUUAUUUUCAUAUUUAAAAUUCACUGUGAAUUUAUUUUUUGACCAGAAAAUGAGAUAAGAGUUGUCUUUAAGCUACUGUAAUUCCCAGGUGUGUUUCUAAUUAAUUAAAGUCAUGUCAAA
rnacentral:lncRNA from 1 species